GGCCCUGUGGCGCAAUGGAUAGCGCAUUGGACUUCUAGUUAAAGACAUAGAGAUGCAAUUCAAAGGUUGUGGGUUCGAGUCCCACCAGGGUCA
rnacentral:tRNA from 1 species